rnacentral:rRNA from 1 species
ACUCCUACGGGAGGCAGCAGUGGGGAAUAUUGCACAAUGGGCGCAAGCCUGAUGCAGCCAUGCCGCGUGUAUGAAGAAGGCCUUCGGGUUGUAAAGUACUUUCAGUUGUGAGGAAGGGGGUAACGUUAAUAGCGCUAUCUCUUGACGUUAGCAACAGAAGAAGCACCGGCUAACUCCGUGCCAGCAGCCGCGGUAAUAC